AGUGAGGAAUAUUGCGCAAUGGGGGAAACCCUGACGCAGCGACGCCGCGUGGAGGAUGACGGCCUUCGGGUUGUAAACUCCUGUCGGGUGGGAAGAAUUCCCAGCAGGCUAAUACUCUGUUGGAUUGACGGUACCACCAAAGGAAGCCCCGGCUAAUUCCGUGCCAGCAGCCGCGGUAAUACGGAAGGGGCAAGCGUUGUUCGGAAUUAUUGGGCGUAAAGGGCGUGUAGGCGGUCUAUUAAGUCAGGAGUGAAAGCCCUCGGCUCAACCGGGGAAGUGCUUUUGAAACUGGUAGACUUGAGUUCGGGAGAGGAAAGCGGAAUUCCCAGUGUAGCGGUGAAAUGCGUAGAUAUUGGGAAGAACACCAGAGGCGAAGGCGGCUUUCUGGACCGACACUGACGCUGAAACGCGAAAGCCAGGGGAGCGAACGGGAUUAGAUACCCCGGUAGUCCUGGCUGUAAACGAUGAACACUAGGUAUGGGAGGUGUUGACCCCUUCCGCGCCGAAGCU
rnacentral:rRNA from 1 species